UUUUCUACGAACGCCGGUUUGGCUGCUGUUUGUUGACUAUCGCGGAUAAAUUUCGCAUAUACUAGUCUUAAAUAUGUCGGUAACAUUACAUACGGAUGUGGGUGACAUAAAAAUUGAGCUUUUCUGUGAGGAUUGUCCAAAAGCUUGUCAGAAUUUUUUGGCGCUAUGUGCCAGCGAAUAUUACAAUGGCUGCGCUUUCAUUCGCAAUAUAAAAGGUUUUAUAGUACAAACAGGUGAUCCUACAAACACAGGUAAAAAUGGUAAAUCUAUUUGGGGUACCAAAUUUGAAGAUGAAUUCAAAGACACAUUGAAGCACUCUGACCGCGGUAUGGUUUCCAUGGCAAAUAAUGGCCCCAAUGCGAAUGCCAGCCAAUUCUUUAUAACUUAUGCAGCUCAACCCAAUUUAGACCUCAAGUAUACACUGUUUGGAAGAGUAAUUGAUGGUUUCGACGCCUUAGACGAGUUAGAAAAACUACCAGUAAAUCCCAAAACUUACCGUCCACAUAUUGAAAAAAAAAUCAACAGUGUUACAAUACAUGCAAAUCCUAUAGCUGGAUAAGGACUGGCUAGGGAGGUACAACCACCGUUUCAAAGUACUACAUAUAUGAAAUUAGAUUGGAUUGUGACCAAAUAGCACGAAUUGAUUUUCUUAACACGUAAUGAUCGGUAUAAGAAUCGCUAUUCACCUUUAUUUUCGUCCAAAUUCCAUAUGUUUCUCGACUACUGUGACCAAAAAAUGCAAAACUACUUAAUGCAACAUUUAAUUAAACAGCAAAUCCAACAGCCGUUAAAGGCGCCAAUAACAGCCUUGACUGACGCGGCGGCGGCGACACACAACAACACACGCACACCACACACAACGCUCUACGCCAAACUACAAAUAGUUGCGCUAAAAUGGCAAUAAAUACUUGCACAAGCUAAUUCACCAACAAAUGUUGUUAU